GGGGGAUUAGCUCAGCUGGCCAGAGCACCUGCCUUGCACGCAGGGGGUCAUCGGUUCGACUCCGAUAUCCUCCA
rnacentral:tRNA from 1 species